rnacentral:rRNA from 1 species
AAUCAACGCUGGCGGCGUGCCUAACACAUGCAAGUCGAACGCGAAAGCCCUUUCGGGGGUAAGUAGAGUGGCGUCCGGGUGAGUAACACGUAGGUAAUCUGCCUUCGGGUGGGGAAUAACCAGUCGAAAGAUUGGCUAAUACCGCAUAAUGCAGCGGCACCUAAUGGUGAUUAGUUGUUAAAGCGGGGGAUCGUAAGACCUCGCGCCUGAAGAGGAGCCUGCGGCAGAUUAGCAGUUGGUGAGGUAAUGGCUCACCAAGGCUUCGAUCUGUAGCUGGUCUGAGAGGACGGCCAGCCACACUGGCACUGACACACGGGCCAGACUCCUACGGGAGGCAGCAGUGGGGAAUUUUGGGCAAUGGGCGAAAGCCUGACCCAGCAACGCCGCGUGAGGGAGGAAAUCCUUCGGGAUGUAAACCUCACAAGCAAGGGAAGAGAGCUCAGGGCCGAAUAAGCUUUGAGUCCGACGGUACCUUGCGUAAGCCACGGCUAACUACGUGCCA